rnacentral:rRNA from 1 species
UGACGGUAUCAUAUGAAUAAGCACCGGCUAACUCCGUGCCAGCAGCCGCGGUGAUACGGGGGGUGCAAGCGUUACUCGGAAUCACUGGGCGUAAAGAGCAUGUAGGCGGGUGAAUAAGUUGGAAGUGAAAUCCUAUAGCUUAACUAUAGAACUGCUUCCAAAACUGUUCACCUAGAGUAUGGGAGAGGUAGAUGGAAUUUCUGGUGUAGGGGUAAAAUCCGUAGAGAUCAGAAGGAAUACCGAUUGCGAAGGCGAUCUACUGGAACAUUACUGACGCUCAGAUGCGAAAGCGUGGGGAGCAAACAGGAUUAGAUACCCUGGUAGUCCACGCCCUAAACGAUGUACACUAGUUGUUGCUAUACUAGAUAUGGCAGUAAUGCAGUUAACACUUUAAGUGUACCGCCUGGGGAGUACGGUCGCAAGAUUAAAACUCAAAGGAAUAGACGGGGACCCGCACAAGCGGUGGAGCAUGUGGUUUAAUUCGACGAUACGCGAAAAACCUUACCUGGCCUUGACAUAGUAGGAAUCUUUAAGAGAUUAGAGAGUGCUAGCUUGCUAGAACCUACAUACAGGUGCUGCACGGCUGUCGUCAGC